rnacentral:rRNA from 1 species
GAUGAACGCUGGCGGCGUGCCUAAUACAUGCAAGUCGAACGCAUAGCGAAAGGUGCUUGCACCUUUCAAGUGUGUGGCGAACGGGUGAGUAACACGUGGACAACCUGCCUCAAGGCUGGGGAUAACAUUUGGAAACAGAUGCUAAUACCGAAUAAAACUUAGUGUCGCAUGACACAAAGUUAAAAGGCGCUUCGGCGUCACCUAGAGAUGGAUCCGCGGUGCAUUAGUUAGUUGGUGGGGUAAAGGCCUACCAAGACAAUGAUGCAUAGCCGAGUUGAGAGACUGAUCGGCCACAUUGGGACUGAGACACGGCCCAAACUCCUACGGGAGGCUGCAGUACGGAAUCUUCCACAAAGGGCGAAAGCCUGAUGGAGCAACGCCGCGUGUGUGAUGAAGGCUUUCGGGUCGUAAAGCACUGUUGUAUGGGAAGAACAGCUAGAAUAGGAAAUGAUUUUAGUUUGACGGUACCAUACCAGAAAGGGACGGCUAAAUACGUG